GUCGGGCAGGGCGACGCGGCUGCCGUCGCCGUCGACCCAGUCGGCGAGCGCCGCGGCCGUCGACGCGAGGCGUUCGGUCGUCUUGGCCGACAC
rnacentral:tRNA from 1 species